rnacentral:rRNA from 1 species
CCAAUAGCGUAUAUUAAAGUUGUUGCAGUUAAAAAGCUCGUAGUUGAAUUUCGGGGUUUAUACGUUGGUCGGGCUUUUGGGUCUGUACUGGCGUUAUGAAUUCCUACCUUCUGAAUAACCAGCAUGCCAUUAAUUUGGUGCGCCGGGGAAGCAGGACUGUUACCUUGAAAAAAUUAGAGUGCUUAAAGCAGGCUAUUGCCUGAAUACAUUAGCAUGGAAUAAUGAAAUAGGACGGCAUGGUUCUAUUUUGUUGGUUUCUAGGAUCACCGUAAUGAUUAAUAGGGAUAGUUGGGGGCAUUAGUAUUCAAUUGUCAGAGGUGAAAUUCUUGGAUUUAUUGAAGACUAACUUCUGCGAAAGCAUUUGCCAAGGAUGUUUUCAUUAAUCAAGAACGAAAGUUAGGGGAUCGAAGACGAUCAGAUACCGUCGUAGUCUUAACCAUAAACUAUGCCGACUAGGGAUCGGAAGAUGUUAAUUUUUUAAUGACUCGUUCGGCGCCUUACG